CCUGAGCUGGCAUUAGCUGUGCCUUGGUUCGCAGAGAUGUAGAGGUAACAAUGGUAUUUUUUAAAGAGUGGAAAAUUGGCUUCGUCUUGUGCUUCUAUUCCUAGCUCUGCCGUGUAUGAGAAGCAUAUGUGAAUCUAGAUGGCAGGCACAUUUCCGGCAAUGAAUAGAAAGACUUGGGCAAAGCAGCCCUGGUAAACUGCUCGAGGUUCCUUUGGCAGCUGGAUAAAUAAUUCUCAAAUCCAAGCUAAUCUGGAGAACAUUUAAUUAACAACUAACUAUAUUUGAACAUCAACAAACAGUCUUUGCUGCUUUCAGUGAGAUGAAAAUCAUAACUAUUUUGGGAAGGUGCAGAAAACAAGUAUCCACAAGACUGCGACCAGUGAAGGAGUUGACAUAUUCUCAUAAAGUGUAUUUGUAAUGUUCAACAAAAAGAUCUAAAGUUUUAAAAUAUAUUUGUGGCUGAAUUCUGUAUUUCCAAAAUGAACUGGGGUUUUCAGAAGGUAAAGUAUAAAGUUGUUCACAAUCCCAAUAAAGUUGU